UACAUCAUGUUGAAACACCAGUUUCCACAUGAUCACUGAAGUCAAGCAGCAUGAAGCCUGGUCAGUAUGUAGAUGGGUAACUACUUGGGAAUACCAGGUGCUGUAAG